rnacentral:misc_RNA from 1 species
GGGAAAGUUGCAAAACGAUUCCAGUUAUGAGUAAGCAUUUCUUACUAAAUCUAGCCGAGUCUGGUAUAUACAACAGGGAGAAUCACCUCCAGACGGCUGACGAGUUAAUAUGUUACAUAUUGAUUCUGUCUUAGAUGUGCGAAAUUACAGCACGCGCUUAUUUAUAAUUUGGCAUUAAACUUUCGAUGACUUCGCGUCAUCAUGUAUUAUGGAUAUUUCAGUGGCAUCAUAACAAGAUACAUUGAAAAAAGAUCUUAAUACAUCUUUUUUAAUCGCGA